rnacentral:rRNA from 1 species
GAUGAACGCUGGCGGCGUGCCUAAUACAUGCAAGUCGAGCGAACAGACGAGGAGCUUGCUCCUCUGACGUUAGCGGCGGACGGGUGAGUAACACGUGGAUAACCUACCUAUAAGACUGGGAUAACUUCGGGAAACCGGAGCUAAUACCGGAUAAUAUAUUGAACCGCAUGGUUCAAUAGUGAAAGACGGUUUUGCUGUCACUUAUAGAUGGAUCCGCGCCGCAUUAGCUAGUUGGUAAGGUAACGGCUUACCAAGGCAACGAUGCGUAGCCGACCUGAGAGGGUGAUCGGCCACACUGGAACUGAGACACAGUCCAGACUCCUACGGGAGGCAGCAGUAGGGAAUCUUCCGCAAUGGGCGAAAGCCUGACGGAGCAACGCCGCGUGAGUGAUGAAGGUCUUCGGAUCGUAAAACUCUGUUAUUAGGGAAGAACAAAUGUGUAAGUAACUAUGCACGUCUUGACGGUACCUAAUCAGAAAGCCACGGCUAACUACGU